rnacentral:rRNA from 1 species
GACGAACGCUGGCGGCGUGCUUAACACAUGCAAGUCGAACGGAAAGGCCCUGCUUUUGUGGGGUGCUCGAGUGGCGAACGGGUGAGUAACACGUGAGUAACCUGCCCUUGACUUUGGGAUAACUUCAGGAAACUGGGGCUAAUACCGGAUAGGAGCUCCUGCUGCAUGGUGGGGGUUGGAAAGUUUCGGCGGUUGGGGAUGGACUCGCGGCUUAUCAGCUUGUUGGUGGGGUAGUGGCUUACCAAGGCUUUGACGGGUAGCCGGCCUGAGAGGGUGACCGGCCACAUUGGGCCUGUGAUACGGCCCAGACUCCUACGGGAGGUAGCAGUGGGGAAUAUUGCACAAUGGGCGGAAGCCUGAUGCAGCAACGCCGCGUCCGGGAUGACGGCCUUCGGGUUGUAAACCGUUUUCGCCUGUGACGAAGCGUGAGUGACGGUAAUGGGUAAAGAAGCACCGGCUAACUACGUG